AAGUAAUAAGGACAACCAUGAAUUAAAGUAUACAAAUUUUUGUAAAAGACGGUCUUACAGGAAAGACCGCAUUGAUGGCACAUCAACUGCCACACAAGCUGCCAGGUGAAAUGCUGACGUCAGCAUCAAAAAUAAAAAUAUAUAUAAUAUUUAUGAUUUAUUUUCAUUUCAUUUUCCAAAACCUAAUUCGUUUCUUUCUCUCUCCUAAAUUCUCUGCCCCUCUCUCUCUCUCCUAAAAGAAGAAUUGCUCCUCUCUCCUCCAUAACUAAAGGAUCGGUGGCGAUGGUGGAACUGUCGAUCUUUCGGCGGCGUCAGGCUUAAUUGUCGGUCCUCCACCGCGCCUCGUGUCGGAUUAUCGUCGUUUACCGUCAAAGCGGCUGCAGGUACGGUGGUUUUCGUCGACAAAUCCGAAGCGGAGACGAUUGUUUUGAAGUUCAGGAUACUCGAAGCCGCCACCGCCGUAAUCAAACUGCCGGAAACUUCAGGUAGCGAGCAGUGGUGAUAGAGGAAGGAGAUCGACUCGCGGUGCGACACGGAAAAUAAUUUCCUCAACCAUGUCAAUCGUCGUCUCCGUCGUCGUUCGAUUCAACUCGCUCUUGUUGAUGGUGGCUUGUUGAGCGGCAAGCCUGAGUUCCUCCUCUUUCUGAAAAAACAGUGUGCAAACCAGCUCCAUUUUAUUGGUCUUGCGGCGGUGGCGGAUGUGACUUGCUGUUGGUUGUGCGGUGUUGUUGGUGGUGUUCGAAUGUUUGAACAAAUUGCAGAAAUAAGUUUGAUAUUUGAAAGAUUAUGUUGUUGUUGUUGGUAGGUGGUGAUGAUGUUGUUGUUGUUGUUGUUGUUGGUAGGUUAUGAUGAUGUUGUUGUUGGAUGCACUAUACAAUCAGUGAUGUAGACAUGUAGUAGUGCUGCUGAUGCUUUGUUGGAUGUCUUUAGAUGUCUUGACAGAGGUGAAGUUCAGAAUGGCAGCUUGGUAGCCUCUUCGUUCGUUCAUCUCCAGAUUUAGUUAAUGAUUUAUGUAAUAAUUUUAGUUAAUUUCGUGUAAGCUAUGUUUAAUUUUGUUUUAAGUUGAGAAAAAAUCCAUUUUAGUUAAGAAAUAGAAUUGUUUAGUUAUUUUUUUGUAUUUAUCUCAAUUUUUAUAAUUUGUAUUUUGGUGUUGGGCUUCCUAGUUAUGAAUAACUUUGUUUUUUUUUA